GAUGAAGAACGUAGCGAAAUGCGAUAAGUAAUGUGAAUUACAGAAUUCAGUGAAUCAUCGAAUCUUUGAACGCACAUUGCGCCCGCCAGUAUUCUGGCGGGCAUGCCUGUCUGAGCGUCAUUUCAACCCUCAUGCCCCUAGGGCGUGGUGUUGGGGAUCGGCCAAAGCCCGCGAGGGACGGCCGGCCCCUAAAUCUAGUGGCGGACCCGUCGUGGCCUCCUCUGCGAAGUAGUGAUAUUCCGCAUCGGAGAGCGAUGAGCCCCUGCCGUUAAACCCCCAACUUUCCAAGGUUGACCUCAGAUCAGGUAGGAAUACCCGCUGAACUUAAGCAUAUCAAUAAGCGGAGGA
rnacentral:misc_RNA from 1 species